AUUGGAAAAUUAUUGUGUUUUAUGGGAAAAUGAGAUUUUAUAAAAUAAUUUUAUAAUAUUUUUGAAAAUUUAAUAAUGAUUUCAAAAAUAGAGUAAUUGGAGACCUAUACUAUGAUUGUGUUGUUUAUCCAUGAUUUUACAUUAAAUGGCUUAUGAUAAAUGUGGGUAUGACUGGUUAUUUUUAUGAUUUAAAGAAUAUGUGAACUGUUUUGAUUUGCCUUGAAUGUGUUAAGUGAGUCAUGUCAUACUAUUGUGAUUUUAUUGGUUGGUGGAUUAUAAAGUGG
rnacentral:lncRNA from 1 species